UCUGGAAACACCUGGCUGAGGUUUCUCGUUCAAGAGGCGACAGGCAUCUUUGCCGGAAGCGAAUACAGCGACAGACAGCUACGCCCCUUUGGAUUUCUUGGCGAAAGGGUGGCUAAUUCAACGACAAUUCUCGUCAAAACUCACAAAUGCCUACCUGAUACUCUUACACGAUACGAAAGAUCUCUGCUGCUUAUCCGUCACCCUUACGAAGCCAUCAAAGCCGAGUUCAACAGAAAGCACAGCACCAUAAACAAAUCAAUCGCUGAACUGGAUGCUCUUGAACAAUACUGGCCUGAGUACUAUAUUGAAAACCAGAGGUACUGGGUUCGAUUCCAUGAAUUUUGUCACGCCUACAGGAGAC